AUUUUCUCAGUAUUCGUGUACAUUUGCCUUCCAAGCAAAAAGAUUAUUAUAUAAAGAAAAUA
rnacentral:tRNA from 1 species